rnacentral:rRNA from 1 species
AUACGUAGGGAGCGAGCGUUGUCCGGAAUUACUGGGCGUAAAGGGCGCGUAGGCGGCGCUUCAAGUCGUCUGUCAAAUGGGAGGGCUUAACCCUUUUUCGCAGACGAAACUGGAGAGCUUGAGAAGCAGAGAGGCAAACAGAAUUCCUGGUGUAGCGGUGAAAUGCGUAGAUAUCAGGAAGAAUACCAGUGGCGAAGGCGGUUUGCUGGCUGCAUACUGACGCUGAAGCGCGAAAGCCAGGGGAGCAAACGGGAUUAGAUACCCCGGUAGUCCUGGCAGUAAACGAUGUAUGCUGGGUGUGAGACUAGCGAUAGUUUCGUGCCGAAGUUAACACGAUAAGCAUACCGCCUGGGGAGUACGGUCGCAAGAUUGAAACUCAAAUGAAUUGACGGGG